UGCUAUUUCUUCAUUUGCCAUUUCUGUUCCUGCCAUCUGCCCCCAUGUAGCUUCUGGCCAGUCUUCAACCCCCGCCUUUGGAGUCCAUGGAGGAAAAGGGCAGAAACAGGAGCCCAGAGACCGUUCCAGACUCACCAGAACUGCCAGCACCCACCUGGAAUAUGGUUCCUUCACUUGGGCCAUGAAUGGCACAGGUAACCAAGGGCUUGGCCUGCCUGCAAGCUCUACAGUCAGACAGGUUUGAAGGUGAAAACCCCAUACAAAACACCAUUCGGAGACCCUCAUCUUCUGGGAUGCUGAGCAUACAAAACACCAUUCAGAGACUGUCAUCUUCUACGACGCUGGAGAACUGCUCUGCAGAGUUGGCUUCUCCUUCUCUCCUGGGCUCUAGGGGAAGGCCACCUCUGCCUGAAAAGACCUGACGUCAGGGAUCGCAACGAUUCACAUCAACCUGGAACGUGGGCCAUGUCUGUCUCUCAGCAGGACGGACAAAAGCUGGGGCUAAGAAUGGGACUGAGAAGUCAGGCCCCAAGAAGCUCACAAUUGCCCAGGUAAAUAAACUGUGCUGCCUUUGAAUCCUCUGGAAAAGAGUGACAGACCCUUUGUUCACAGAAAAAAACUUGAAACAUGAGUCCUCCAUCUCAAAAAAUAAAUAAAAA